GCGCUUCGCGCUUGCGCAGGUCGAGGACUUGGAGAGAGGCGGAGGCGCAGUAGUCCAACUACUGAAGAGUCUCCAUGUGACAGUGAGCGGGGUCCCAGCUGCAGGCGCCGCCCGGCUCUAGUUCCCGACCCCAAGCCCUGUCCACUGACCCGGCGCCUGCAGACACCAGCAGGCCGGGGACAGUUGGUGUUGGGCCGUGCCUUCGGAGGACUUGAGGUGCAGAGGGAACUGCCGCCGCCGGGCAGGUGCCUGAGGGACCCGCCGAGAGCCCGGCGUCUGCGGGGAGAGACGGAGCGGACUUUCUGUCGGCGCCGGCGCCCCUGAGCGCCCAGGCAUGAACGGCUUCACGCCGGAGGAGAUGAGCCGCGGCGGGGACGCGGCCGCCGCAGUAGCCGCCGUGGUCGCUGCUGCCGCCGCCGCCGCCGCCGCCGCUGCUUCGGCGGCGGGGAACGGGGCCGGGGCGGGGGCCGGGGCUGAGGUACCCGGCGCCGGGGCGGUCUCCGCGGCCGGGGCCCCGGGAGCGGCCGGGCCGGGCCCGGGACAGCUGUGCUGUCUGCGGGAGGACGGUGAGCGGUGCGGCCGGGCAGCGGGCAACGCCAGCUUCAGCAAGAGGAUCCAGAAGAGCAUCUCCCAGAAGAAGGUGAAGAUCGAGCUGGAUAAGAGCGCAAGGCAUCUUUACAUUUGUGAUUAUCAUAAAAACUUAAUUCAGAGUGUUCGAAACAGAAGAAAGAGAAAAGGGAGUGAUGAUGAUGGAGGAGAUUCACCUGUUCAAGAUAUUGAUACUCCAGAGGUUGAUUUAUACCAAUUACAAGUAAAUACACUUAGGAGAUACAAAAGACACUUCAAACUACCAACCAGACCAGGACUCAAUAAAGCACAGCUUGUUGAGGUGAAUAAAGUACAAAGAAUGAGUGGGAGGACUUGCCCACAGGAGCAACAAAGACUAAGAAGACCUCUUGUUGAACCGUGGUUUAUAUUGCUCCAGAGACCAUCUGUCUCUUUGAGGCGGCUUCUGGAGCCUCCCAAAGUAAAACUUUUAUGUGUGGCUUCAAUCCUUCUGGAGUCACUGAGGGUGGUUGUGUGGGGAGAAGCGGAGCUGGUUUCAAACUUCACAGGUCCCUCCCAGGAGAGAGUGAAACUUAUGAAAGCAGACUCUACUGUGGAGUCUCGAGUGAGGCCCUUGAGGAUACAGCAGAAUUACCAAGGAGCUAUUGUGUAAGCUGUUGAGCAGAUGCUGCUACAACUACAGGGAGAGAACUGCGUCCGAGAGGCAUUCGUCCUGGAAUGCAGUUCCAAAGGACAUCCUCCAUGGCAGAUGGGUAACCAAGACAGUGCGAUGGAAUGCCUGGUUGAGAGGAGUACCAGUAAACUUUGAACUACGUUUGUGAGAGGUGAACAGAAGGGGUGCUGCAAUCUGCAUCUUGAUUGUUUCUGUUGAUUGAAGCUGGCAGAUAAUUGCAUAAAUCUUCUUUUCACUUUGCCUAAGAAGAUAUGUUGAAUGCAAAUCUCUAAGGGAUCAAAAGUGGUUACCAAGCAAGUCCAUUUUCAGAAUUGACUCCAUAUACAAAGGAAUCUCGACAGAUGACAAGAACAGAAAGGUUAAAAUAUAAAUACAUGAAAAAUAACAACAUGGGACUUUCAUUUCUAGCAAUAUUUCUGACUAGAUAAUCUGAAAACUCUCUUACUAAAAAUCAUGUAGAUACAUUGGAUAAAAAUAUGAAAUGUAUGCUUUUAAGUGCUAAUAAGAAAGUAAAGUAAAUACGUUAGAACCUUA